GACGAACGCUGGCGGCGUGCUUAACACAUGCAAGUCGAACGAAAAGAGGGAAAGAGCUUGCUCUUUCCGGAAUUGAGUGGCAAACGGGUGAGUAACACGUAAACAACCUGCCUUCAGGAUGGGGACAACAGACGGAAACGACUGCUAAUACCGAAUAAGUUCCAAGGGCCGCAUGGCCCAUGGAAGAAAAGGUGGCCUCUACCUGUAAGCUAUCGCCUGAAGAGGGGUUUGCGUCUGAUUAGCUGGUUGGAGGGGUAACGGCCCACCAAGGCGACGAUCAGUAGCCGGUCUGAGAGGAGGAACGGCCACACUGGAAUCGAGACACGGUCCAGACGCCUACGGGAGGCAGCAGUGGGGAAGCUUCCGCAAUGGGCGAAAGCCUGACGGAGCAACGCCGCGUGAGUGAUGACGGCCUUCGGGUUGUAAAACUCUGUGAUCCGGGACGAAAAGGCAGAGUGCGAAGAACAAACGGCAUUGACGGUACCGGAAAAGCAAGCCACGGCUAACUACGUG
rnacentral:rRNA from 1 species